CUCGGUGGUUAUGGCAAGAGGGGUACACCCGGGUCCCUUUCCGAACCCGGUAGUUAAGGCUCUUAGCGCUGAUGGUACUGCACCGGUAGGUGUGUGGAGAGUAGGUCGCCGCCGAGA
rnacentral:rRNA from 1 species